rnacentral:rRNA from 1 species
UGGGGAAUAUUGCACAAUGGGCGCAAGCCUGAUGCAGCCAUGCCGCGUGUAUGAAGAAGGCCUUCGGGUUGUAAAGUACUUUCAGCGGGGAGGAAGGCGAUAAGGUUAAUAACCUUGUCGAUUGACGUUACCCGCAGAAGAAGCACCGGCUAACUCCGUGCCAUCAGCCGCGGUAAUACGGAGGGUGCCAGCGUUAAUCGGAAUUACUGGGCGUAAAGCGCACGCAGGCGGUCUGUCAAGUCGGAUGUGAAAUCCCCGGGCUCAACCUGGGAACUGCAUUCGAAACUGGCAGGCUAGAGUCGUGUAGAGGGGGGUAGAAUUCCAGGUGUAGCGGUGAAAUGCGUAGAGAUCUGGAGGAAUACCGGUGGCGAAGGCGGCCCCCUGGACAAAGACUGACGCUCAGGUGCGAAAGCGUGGGGAGCAAACA